AACCCAUGGCGAGGGCACCUUCUCAAUAGAUCCUUGUAUCUCUCCUAUGCAUCAUAAAGAGUUUCUAGAUCCAUCUGUACAAAAGAAGACCUACUCUUAUUGAAAGGGA
rfam:Gossypium hirsutum cultivar TM-1 unplaced genomic scaffold scaffold39.1, whole genome shotgun sequence